rnacentral:rRNA from 1 species
AAAAUGACUCUCAGCAACGGAUAUCUUGGCUCUUGCAACGAUGAAGAACGCAGCGAAAUGCGAUACCUAGUGUGAAUUGCAGAAUUCCGCGAAUCAUCGAGUUUUUGAACGCAAGUUGCGCCCGAGGCUCGUU